rnacentral:rRNA from 1 species
GUGUCAGCCGCCGCGGUAAGACAGAGGGUGCGAACGUUGCUCGGAAUUACUGGGCGUAAAGCGCGUGUAGGCGGGUAAUCAAGUCAGGUGUGAAAUCCCUGGGCUCAACCCAGGAACUGCACUUGAAACUGGUUGCCUCGAGUGUUGGAGAGGGAAGCGGAAUUCCUGGUGUAGAGGUGAAAUUCGUAGAUAUCAGGAGGAACACCGGUGGCGAAGGCGGCUUCCUGGACAAUUACUGACGCUGAGACGCGAAAGCGUGGGGAGCAAACAGGAUUAGAAACCCUCGUAGUCC